CUGUCCGUGUUAGACGGAAGCAUUAGCAGAAUGGCCGGAAGUAGACAGGAAGUAUAUAGAUCUGUGUUGCUGGGUAUGGUUGCAGCCUCCUCUGUGGGCCCUCCUGCUAGUGAAGACAUAUCAAGGAAGUUCUUUCUACUCUGGAAAUGUGUCCAUGCUCUACAAUUAUACAAUAUAAAAUAUCCAUGACAACUCAUCAUCUAUAUAACAUUAUUAUGAACUGCAGACAAGCCAUGACAUUGUAAAGAUACACGUACAUUAUGAACGAUAUGAGUCAGAAUGUGUUGUCAGAGUCCGGUCUUCUGCGUUUGGGUAACGGUUCGUGAACAAUUUUUUGACAGAACUUACCUGAUCAACUAUAUAAUAAGUGUAGAAGAGUAAUGCUUUCACAAAUCUAAUUAAACAUUUAAGGCCAGGAUUUUCAUCACAAAAGUUCAGGGAAUCGAUGUAUCUCAAUCAAAAUAGCACAGCACGCUGGUAACUUAGGUUGAAAGAACUGGAGUGAUGAGGAGAGAGGGGGUGUAAGGGUAUAUUCAGAACGUACUGACAAAUUCCAAAUGAGCUGGCACUGAACACACGAGGUGACGAUGACAUCAACUCUUGGCAGCUUGACAAUGGUGAGCACGUUCUUGACGGCAAUUAGUUCAACACUGACUUGGCAACCAAGAAGUGGAGAGAUUCAAGAGUUGCUGGUCGACUCAGGUAAAGGCUGAUGAGAGCAGACGGGGGAUGUCUGCUGCUUCUUGCUUUUCUUUUGCUGAAAAAAACGCAAUUUCUGACUUCCCAUGCCCAUUGUUUACAAUCACACCUGUGUGGGAAAAGAGCAACAUGACAUUUUCACACUUUUUCAUUGAGGAAAAAUUCUUCUUUCGAGUUAGUACAGCUACUAUGUAAUAGCUAUUCUCAUAGAGUAAAGCUAAAAGAAUCAGAAAAUUCACACUAAAACUUUCAAUUGUGAACAGUCAGAUCAGGACACCCCACACAAAGAAGGCACCCCAUUCGACUUAUUUCACAACACUGGAGAACAACAAAAAGCUUACAUAUCAAAAAAAGGGGCUAUCCUGUUAAAGCUCAAGUCAAGGAAACAGCCAAUAUGCUUACUAGCUUCUAAAAGUGUAUCAGAAACUAGAUUCUCCCCAAACAGUGCUAAAAACAGGUAAAUGGUGAGUCAUAGCUAACUUGUAGCUCAACAGGUAUAUCUUAUUACUUAAAACGCUCAAAAUAUUGUUAGUAUAGAUUACUACUGACAUUAAAGCUCUUAGAUAGUCGUUUCUUACCUUUAGAACCGAGUAAAACUCUGAAAAGUCUUUAGCCCGCUCAAAAUUAGUCAAUUCGCGGUCUAACGCGGAUAGACCUCAGCUCUCAUGUAUGAUCUAUAGCGCACGUGAUCUCGUUCACAAUCCCCUUCCUCUACUAUCUAUGAUACUAGUGACAACUCAUAAAAUCCUAGAUUUGCAAUAAUCUCAGUUACCCGCGAAGUUCCUGGGGAAUAGAUUAGCCCUCAGCGAGGCGCGGAUGUUUAUCGAGGUCAUAUGUGAAGUACAUUGAAAUCUACUUCCGUUUCCAAUCCCUCUCUCCUACAUCUAUGGUAGAGGGGAGGGAUUGGAAACAUCUCAGGUGACCAAUGUAUUGCCCUAGAGAAUUCUGACACCAUGCGUGUUGCAUUCCGCAAGUAUUGAUUGCGAUUGAUUGCGAGCCAGAUGCAAAGACAAAAGAGAAGAAAGUGAAGAAAACUGCAGGGUACUCAGAAAAUCAGAAAAUCUGCCAAGACCCUUUUAUGCCAACGGCAGAGGGGAGGGACACAUGAUAACCCCACUGUUAUGUAUUAUGAUUAGUAAAUUCUUUUGCAAGAGCUAAACAGUGACCGAUGACGAGAAUACACCAUUGCCUAAAAGGGCGUCAGGCUCAUAAAAAUUAUGUUUUGUGUUUGUAAACAUUUUUAUGUAAACAUCAAAAUUGUGUGAUUGUGUGAAAGUCAUAAUGUUAUGAGGCAGUCUA